UCUUGAUCGAAGCCCCAGUAAACGGCGGCCGUAACUAUAACGGUCCUAAGGUAGCGAAAUUCCUUGUCGGGUAAGUUCCGACCUGCACGAAUGGCGUAAUGAUGGCCAGGCUGUCUCCACCCGAGACUCAGUGAAAUUGAACUCGCUGUGAAGAUGCAGUGUACCCGCGGCAAGACGGAAAGACCCCGUGAACCUUUACUAUAGCUUGACACUGAACAUUGAGCCUUGAUGUGUAGGAUAGGUGGGAGGCUUUGAAGUGUGGACGCCAGUCUGCAUGGAGCCAACCUUGAAAUACCACCCUUUAAUGUUUGAUGUUCUAACGUAGCCCCGUUAUCCGGGGUGCGGACAGUGUCUGGUGGGUAGUUUGACUGGGGCGGUCUCCUCCCAAAGAGUAACGGAGGAGCACGAAGGUUGGCUAAGCAUGGUCGGACAUCAUGCGGUUAGUGCAAAGGCAUAAGCCAGCUUGACUGCGAGAGUGACGGCUCGAGCAGGUACGAAAGUAGGUCUUAGUGAUCCGGUGGUUCUGAAUGGAAGGGCCAUCGCUCAACGGAUAAAAGGUACUCCGGGGAUAACAGGCUGAUACCGCCCAAGAGUUCAUAUCGACGGCGGUGUUUGGCACCUCGAUGUCGGCUCAUCACAUCCUGGGGCUGAAGUAGGUCCCAAGGGUACGGCUGUUCGCCGUUUAAAGUGGUACGCGAGCUGGGUUUAGAACGUCGUGAGACAGUUCGGUCCCUAUCUGCCGUGGGCGUUGGAAGAUUGAAAGGGGCUGCUCCUAGUACGAGAGGACCGGAGUGGACGCACCACUGGUGUUCGGGUUGUCAUGCCAAUGGCAUUGCCCGGUAGCUAAGUGCGGAAGAGAUAACCGCUGAAAGCAUCUAAGCGGGAAACUUGCC
rnacentral:rRNA from 1 species